UCUGAGAGAGACUCUUCACCACUACUAAACCGUGACUGCGUUUUAGCUUGUUAGCUGAUGUGGAUUGCAUUCUUUUGAGACUUCAAAGCUGAGACUCUGCACAGAUUGGAUUUAUGCCAUCAGGAUGAGGUGGUAGUGCAAAUGGAUGCCGAGUGUUGUGAAUAGAAGGUGUUGGAAAUAAACCCCAGGGGUCCAGUCAGCACAGAGCACGCAACCGGGCCCACAAGACACAGCACUCGCCACCAUUUUAUUCAGUGCAUCCUGCGGCUCUGGAGGUUGGACUUAGCAAGUUCAGUGCUGUCUGCGACUGUCAGAAACGAUGGGAGUCCUGCUGCUCCUCCAGACUGCUCAUGGGAAAUGGAGGCUGGAGCUGCCUGCCCACGUCACUCAAAGUCCAGAA